ensembl:snoRNA
UGACGACUCGUCCUCCUGCUGCUCUAAGUUUUGGCAUGUCAGGAUUUUAGGUCGUCACAGAGCAAACAGGGUCUCUUUCACCCAGUGUGCAGCAGGCAGCGGAGCUGCCCUUUUGGACACUGGUUUUGCGGCACCCAACAAAA